GAUUGUUUGCCUCCCAUUGACACAGUUUAUAAUCAUCACCUGAUCAAGGAGACCUUUCUCAACAAGUCCUGGUGCUUGCCUGAUGAAGUGAGCUACUCAGGCAGCUCAGGGUGAAGACCAUGGGGAGCACCACAAAGAGCUGCAGAUCAGUUCCAGGAUCACAGGUCGCCAUGAAAUGAAGGAUAAAAGAGGGAAAGGAUUAUGCCAGGAAACCAUGAGAAAAAGCAGUUUCAUCUCUCUGUCAAGGACUCACCAUUAACAGAGAGAGAAAUUAUAACCUGUGUCCAGCAAGCUCACUGCCUGGCAAUCUUCCUCCCUUUCAUUUGCAGAGUGGCACACUAAAGCUGGCAAGACAGACUUUAUGCAAAGCCCUUCUGCAAUAAAGGAAACUUCUCUGCAGACAAAUGUUGGAUUAAACCAAUUCCCUGGACCAAGUGGUAGGGCACAGAUUUUGCUCCUGUUCUUUGAGAUGAGCCUCUUACCAGCUGUUAUGCCUAUGAACAUUUGUGCUUUCAAAUAAAAAUAUUAUUAAAAUGAAAUCUGUCUUUGUGCUUCCUAUGUUGCUGGUCUUAAAAGUGGACAGGUAUCACAAGGCCUAUAAAAAGAGCUUGGAGAGUGGUCUCUCAAUCGGUUUCCAUUUCUG
rnacentral:lncRNA from 1 species